rnacentral:lncRNA from 1 species
UCCCUAUUUAUAUUAAGUUGACACUUUAUCUUUUAAACAUUCAUUUUCUUUUUUUAAUCAAACAAAAGAUCUCUUUGUCUUUUUCAAUUUCAUAUCCAACAAUCACCCACCAUUAUUUUUUCAACCCAACAAGAAAUAAAUUAUCUCCCUUUGAAUUAAGAUUUUGAAGAUUCAAUGCAAUUUGGUUUGUCUCACUAUCAUUGUUACAACCUUACAGGUUUCUUUCUUUCUCUCUUAUCUUCAAAACAUAAACUACAAAUUAUAUAGAUUGUUAUUGUAUUGUUUUGUUUUGAUCCCAUGAUAAUAAUAUUUUUAGAUAUUUACUGAAAGUAAUUUGAAUUUAAUAAUUCUUUAUCCUUGUUCAUACAGAUAUUUCUUAUUU